AAGGGACAUAAACGAAGUAAGAGCAUUGUGAGUUGAGAAGUCGGAGAGUGCGAAUUGCGUUGUCGAGAGAGAGUUGCAAAUUAAUUAUCUAGUUGUCUUAAUUAUAAUACGUUAUUGUGGUUAGCUCACGUUAAACAACCAUCGUUUCCUGUUUAAUCGACAUCUGUUUAAACCAUUUAUUGUAAAUAAAUUAAUCGUAGUA
rnacentral:misc_RNA from 1 species